UACAUUCUUUUUUUAAAUAAAAGUAGACAAAGACCCCUUCACAUUUGAGAUAAUUAUACUUAAAUUCUAAAAAAAUAAUAAGGUUUUCGGUAGCCACCAAAACUUCAUUUUCCUUGCAAUAUGGCCUAAUGGCCACUAAAACUUUAUUUUCGUUGCAAUAUGAUCCAGUCAUCUAUCUACAUCCUAACAGUAUUGUUAGCAGAGUGAGAGAAAAGACCGAAAUAUCCUUGAUUUAGAGAGGCAAGAUAGUGGCUCUCACGCAAUCUGAAAACGCUCUGUCUUUUAUAAUUCAUCCAUUUAUACAGAUCUCAAAACACUUCAUUCUCUAUCAUUCAUCUACUCGCAUAGAUCCCAAAGCGCUUCAUUUUCUAUUAUCCAUCCACAUGCAUAGAUCUCAAAGUAUUUCAUCCUCUAUCAUUAAUCCACCUACACACAUCUCAAUGCACUCCAUUUGUCAUUCAUUCUUCUGCACAAAUCUCAAAGCACUUCAUACUCUAUCAUCCAUCUGUUUUUACAGAUCUUAAAGCACUAUAUUCUCUAUCAUUAAUCUGCCUGCACAAAUCUUAAAGCACUUCAUCUCUAUCAUCCAUCCAUCUGCAUGAUUUCAAAGCACUCAAUUGUCUCUCACCCAUCCACUUAUAUAGAUCUCAAAAGUAUUCCAUCCUCUAUCAUUUAUUAUCGUACAAAUCUUAAAAUACUCUAUUCUCUAUCAUUCAUUUAAGAUCUCAAAUCACUCUACCCUUUGUUAUCCAUCUACUUGUAUAGAUAUCAAAGCGCUCCAUUCUCUACCGUUCAUUUGUCUCAUAGAUCUCAAAGCACUUUAUCCUCUGUCAUUCAUCUCAAAGUAUUUUGUUCUCUACCAUCCAUCUAUUUGCAUAAAUCUCAAAGCAUUCUA
rnacentral:lncRNA from 1 species